GUUGUUGACUUGAGGGUGUAGAUGAAGCCACUCUUCACUCUUACAAGAAUGAAAUAGACAUACUUCAUAGACUGCAGUGGUUGAUAAGGUUAUUCAGCUGUAUGACUAUGAACUUAGUGAUAUUUACUUGAAACUAGUAAUGGAAAAGGGAAACAGGGACCUGGCAUCCAUCUUGAAUAGCGCUCGAGGCAAAAAUGCCAAACCGAUCUCACCAUUUACAAUCCAGCAUUACUGGCAAGGCAUGCUGUUGGCUGUACAGGCAAUCCACCAGGAAGGUAUCAUUCACUCAGACCUUAAGC